rnacentral:rRNA from 1 species
GACGGAGGAUGCAAGUGUUAUCCGGAAUCACUGGGCGUAAAGCGUCUGUAGGUGGUUCAAUAAGUCAACUGUUAAAUCUUGAGGCUCAACUUCAAAAUCGCAGUCGAAACUAUUGGACUCGAGUAUAGUAGGGGUAAAGGGAAUUUCCAGUGGAGCGGUGAAAUGCGUAGAGAUUGGAAAGAACACCAAUGGCGAAAGCAACUUUACUGGGCUAUUACUGACACUGAGAGACGAAAGCUAGGGUAGCAAAU